UACGUAGGGUGCGAGCGUUAUCCGGAUUCACUGGGUUUAAAGGGUGCGUAGGUGGGUCUGUAAGUCAGUGGUGAAAUCUCCGAGCUUAACUCGGAAACUGCCAUUGAUACUAUAGGUCUUGAAUAUCCUGGAGGUGAGCGGAAUAUGUCAUGUAGCGGUGAAAUGCUUAGAUAUGACAUAGAACACCAAUUGCGAAGGCAGCUCACUACGGGAUCAUUGACACUGAGGCACGAAAGCGUGGGGAUCAAACAGG
rnacentral:rRNA from 1 species